AUGGUUGACCAUAGAACAUGCG
rnacentral:miRNA from 6 species